rnacentral:rRNA from 1 species
CCUACGGGUGGCAGCAGUGGGGAAUAUUGGGCAAUGGGCGCAAGCCUGACCCAGCAACGCCGCGUGAAGGAAGACGGCUUUCGGGUUGUAAACUUCUUUUAAUAGGGAAGAGCAGAAGACGGUACCUCUUGAAUAAGCCACGGCUAACUACGUGCCAGCAGCCGCGGUCAUACGUAGGUGGCAAGCGUUGUCCGGAUUUACGGGGUGUAAAGGGCGUGUAGCCGGGCUGACAAGUCAGAUGUGAAAUCCCGUGGCUCAACCACGGAACUGUAGUUGAAACUGGCGGUCUUGAGUAUCGGAGAGGCAGGCGGAAUUCCUAGUGUAGCGGUGAAAUGCGUAGAUAUUAGGAGGAACACCAGUGGCGAAGGCGGCCUGCUGGACGACAACUGACGGUGAGGCGCGAAAGCGUGGGGAGCAAACAGGAUUAGAUACCCGGGUAGUC